GCUGAAGGCAUCUAAGCGUGAAGCCCCCCUCAAGAUGAGAUAUCCCAUUCGAAAGGAGUAAACCCCCUUGAAGACGACGAGGUUGAUAGGGCAGAGGUGGAAGUGCGGUAACGCAUGGAGCUGACUGCUACUAAUAGGGUGAGGGCUUGACCAA
rnacentral:rRNA from 1 species